GCCAUUGCAAGAAAGAAAAUAAGUUUUAGGUUUUCAAAGAUUUCAGGGCUCCUUUGAUUUUUAUUAUACGCUCAAUAUCAGUUAAAAUUAAACCUACAAUGUUUUAUUGUUGUAUAUGAGUAUCAUAAACAUGAGUUUUUAAUGUUUUUCAGUUCUCUGGAGUUAGUCAAAGCUAUAAAUGGAUGCCUCCUGUGCAAAAAAGCAGUCAAUUGUUAAAAAACUAAUUCAGGAGGAAUAUGCCCCAGAUAUCAGGUCUGAUUACCGAUUGUCUGAUAUCAUCAAACCAGCAAAUAAAAAUUUGGAAAAGCAAAUUUCAAGUAACACAAGUUUAAGCAACGGAGACAAAACUGAGGAUCGUCUGAAUCAGUCAUUUGAUGAUAGCGAUAAUGAAUCUCUUGCUUCUAAAGCUAGAGGAAGGAAAAGGAAUUUGCAAGAUGCCAAAGGAGAUUCUUCAUCAGAUGAUGCAAAAAUUCCACAGAAAAAUACUCGUUCUUCCUCAGAAUCUGCUAUAGAGCUGCGAACAAGGACCUCCAAACGCAGACAUUCCAAAGACGAGUCCUCUGACACAAGUUCGAAUGUAAGUCUACAUUGCGAUAGCUACACUUAAAAUUUCUACAACCUAAUACAAAAUCAAUAUUUUUAAGAUUUUGAUCACACACGAUUUGUUUGUGGUACAAAAAAACAGUAUGAGCUUUACAAAUUGUGACAGAUUGGCAAUCGCAAUAACGGUGACUUACAGCAGCAAGAAUGUCCAAGCAGCGGGCUAUUUGUUGAAAUUGAUAGACCAAGAAGAAAAAAGGUACAGUAAAAGUUCGUUAAGUCGAACUACGAUUAAGACGAAAAUCCGCUUAAGUCGAAAUUUUCUUCGGUCCCGCGACGUUGCAUAUGGAACAACGUUAAAAAAACUACGCUUAAGACGAAUUCGCGAAUUUUUGAGCCGGGUGGAAAGCCGCUUAUGUCGAAUUUUUUUUUCGAAAAAUCCGGAUUUAUACAACGAAAAUCACAAAAAAUGCGCAAUAUAGACGGGAGAAAUGUAGAAAAGAUUGAUUUGGCUUAAAACUUAAAAUUAAAAAGAGUAAAAAGUUAAAAAGAGUAAAAUUUAAAAAGACAAAAUCACUUAAAGAAAUCGUUAAUUUUUAACUGCUUGUGGCGAUUUAUCAUUCCGGAAAUGAGCAAAGAUUCUAGAUUUUGAAUACUGGCUAUUGCGCUGUCGGCUCCUUCGCACUGACAAAAGAAUAUUGCCGCUUAAGUCGAAUUUUUGCGAUUUUCACGCUGAUUUCGAGUUAAGCGGAGAAACGAAUAACUCGAAAUGCCGCUUAAGUCGAAUUUUUCAUUGGUCCCCAGACAAUUCGACUUAACGAACUUUUACUGUAUAUGAAGAGCCCCUAUUGGUAGAAGCGGGUUGUUGCAAUGGACAAAAGAGGUAGGUAAUAAACUAACUAACAGUAACCGAUGAGAGACCCUAUAGUUAGUCUUAACAUUUAUCCCCUUUGUCUUUAACAAGGACCCAUUUCAACCCAUAGGAUCACUCCAUACUCCCUAUGUCCUCUUUGUCUAUCGCUUUGUCCAUGAAUUUCAACAAUGAGCCCGCAGUGUGGCAAUGAGAGGGUGUGUACUCAAUGAAGUCCUAAACUAUGAAGACAUUUUAGCCGAGUGGGGAAAUUUUGAAGUGAAGAUUGCUAAUUUUUGCUCGAAAGAAGUUUCUGCAUCCUUAGGUUUUGGAUCCGUGAUGGAGAAUUUCCUUGC
rnacentral:lncRNA from 1 species